rnacentral:tRNA from 1 species
GCGCCCAUAGCUCAGCUGGAUAGAGCGUCUGGCUACGAACCAGGAGGUCGCACGUUCGAGUCGUGCUGGGCGCACCA